CCCUGUACACACGGAUAACAUACCGAAAGGUAUGCUAAUACGAGAUAAUAUGCUUUUAUCGCAUGGUAGAAGUAUCAAAGCUCUGGCGGUACAGGAUGGACCCGCGUCUGAUUAGCUAGUUGGUGAGGUAACGGCUCACCAAGGCGACGAUCAGUAGCCGACCUGAGAGGGAGAUCGGCCACAUUGGAACUGAGACACGGUCCAAACUCCUAGGGGAGGCAGCAGUGGGGAAUAUUGCAAAAGGGGCGAAAGCCU
rnacentral:rRNA from 1 species